rnacentral:tRNA from 1 species
UCCCUGGCAGUCCAGUGGUUAGGACUUGGUGCUUUCACUGCUGUAGCCAGGGUUCAAUCCCUGGUCAGGGAA